GAUGAACGCUGGCGGCGUGCCUAAUACAUGCAAGUCGAGCGAACGGACGAGAAGCUUGCUUCUCUGAUGUUAGCGGCGGACGGGUGAGUAACACGUGGAUAACCUACCUAUAAGACUGGGAUAACUUCGGGAAACCGUAGCUAAUACCGGAUAAUAUUUUGAACCGCAUGGUUCAAAAGUGAAAGACGGUCUUGCUGUCACUUAUAGAUGGAUCCGCGCUGCAUUAGCUAGUUGGUAAGGUAACGGCUUACCAAGGCAACGAUGCAUAGCCGACCUGAGAGGGUGAUCGGCCACACUGGAACUGAGACACGGUCCAGACUCCUACGGGAGGCAGCAGUAGGGAAUCUUCCGCAAUGGGCGAAAGCCUGACGGAGCAACGCCGCGUGGGUGAUUAAGGUCUUCGGAUCGUAAAACUCUGUUAUUAGGGAAGAACAUAUGUGUAAGUAACUGUGCACAUCUUGACGGUACCUAAUCAUAAAGCCACGGCUAACUACGUG
rnacentral:rRNA from 1 species